GUGGAAUUAGGCUCCUAAUGUGGAGCUGAAUGAGUGUAGUCAGGAAUAUAGCUGCAUCACUCUGGAAACAGACGUCAUUACCUCAGAUGAACUUGCAGGGAGUAAUUGAGAUGGAAACGAUGAUCAGAAGGGGAAUGGAAGAUUGUGAUAAGGCAGCCUGUGUUUGUGUAUACAGACUCACCACCUGUGACUUAGGAGAAGGAAAACGCAGAGGCACGUGCAAUCUGAAAUGUGUCUCUCACUCAUCAAUCAGUGUUUAUCAGAAUUGGAG
rnacentral:lncRNA from 1 species